GAUGAACGCUGGCGGCGUGCCUAAUACAUGCAAGUCGAGCGAAUGGAUUAAGAGCUUGCUCUUAUGAAGUUAGCGGCGGACGGGUGAGUAACACGUGGGUAACCUGCCCAUAAGACUGGGAUAACUCCGGGAAACCGAGGCUAAUACCGGAUAACAUUUUGAACCGCAUGGUUCGAAAUUGAAAGGCGGCUUCGGCUGUCACUUAUGGAUGGACCCGCGUCGCAUUAGCUAGUUGGUGAGGUAACGGCUCACCAAGGCAACGAUGCGUAGCCGACCUGAGAGGGUGAUCGGCCACACCGGGACUGAGACACGGCCCAGACUCCUACGGGAGGCAGCAGUAGGGUAUCUUCCGCAAUGGACGAAAGUCUGACGGAGCAACGCCGCGUGAGUGAUGAAGGCUUUCGGGUCGUAAAACUCUGUUGUUAGGGAAGAACAAGUGCUAGUUGAAUAAGCUGGCACCUUGACGGUACCUAACCAGAAAGCCACGGCUAACUACGUGCCAGCCGCCGCGGUAA
rnacentral:rRNA from 1 species